rnacentral:rRNA from 1 species
GGUCAAGUGAAGAAGCGCAUACGGUGGAUGCCUUGGCAGUCAGAGGCGAUGAAAGACGUGGUAGCCUGCGAAAAGCUUCGGGGAGUCGGCAAACAGACUUUGAUCCGGAGAUGUCUGAAUGGGGGAACCCAGCCAUCAUAAGAUGGUUAUCUUGUACUGAAUACAUAGGUGCAAGAGGCGAACCAGGGGAACUGAAACAUCUAAGUACCCUGAGGAAAAGAAAUCAACCGAGAUUCCCUUAGUAGUGGCGAGCGAACGGGGACUAGCCCUUAAGUGGCUUUGAGAUUAGCGGAACGCUCUGGAAAGUGCGGCCAUAGUGGGUGAUAGCCCUGUACGCGAAAAUCUCUUAGUCAUGAAAUCGAGUAGGACGGAGCACGAGAAACUUUGUCUGAAUAUGGGGGGACCAUCCUCCAAGGCUAAAUACUACUGACUGACCGAUAGUGAACUAGUACCGUGAGGGAAAGGCGAAAAAGAACCCCGGAGAGGGGGAGUGAAAUAGAUCCUGAAACCGUAUGCGUACAAGCAGUGGGAGCAGACUUUGUUCUGUGACUGCGUACCUUUUGUAUAAUGGGUCAGCGACUUAUUUUCAGUGGCGAGCUUAACCGAAUAGGGGAGGCGUAGCGAAAGCGAGUCUUAAUAGGGCGUCUAGUCGCUGGGAAUAGACCCGAAACCGGGCGAUCUAUCCAUGGGCAGGUUGAAGGUUAGGUAACACUGACUGGAGGACCGAACCGACUACCGUUGAAAAGUUAGCGGAUGACCUGUGGAUCGGAGUGAAAGGCUAAUCAAGCUCGGAGAUAGCUGGUUCUCCUCGAAAGCUAUUUAGGUAGCGCCUCAUGUAUCACUGUAGGGGGUAGAGCACUGUUUCGGCUAGGGGGGUCAUCCCGACUUACCAAACCGAUGCAAACUCCGAAUACCUACAAGUGCCGAGCAUGGGAGACACACGGCGGGUGCUAACGUCCGUCGUGAAAAGGGAAACAACCCAGACCGUCAGCUAAGGUCCCAAAGUUAUGGUUAAGUGGGAAACGAUGUGGGAAGGCUUAGACAGCUAGGAGGUUGGCUUAGAAGCAGCCACCCUUUAAAGAAAGCGUAAUAGCUCACUAGUCGAGUCGGCCUGCGCGGAAGAUGUAACGGGGCUCAAACCAUACACCGAAGCUACGGGUAUCACGUAAGUGAUGCGGUAGAGGAGCGUUCUGUAAGCCUGUGAAGGUGAGUUGAGAAGCUUGCUGGAGGUAUCAGAAGUGCGAAUGCUGACAUGAGUAACGACAAUGGGUGUGAAAAACACCCACGCCGAAAGACCAAGGUUUCCUGCGCAACGUUAAUCGACGCAGGGUUAGUCGGUCCCUAAGGCGAGGCUGAAAAGCGUAGUCGAUGGAAAACAGGUUAAUAUUCCUGUACUUCUGGUUAUUGCGAUGGAGGGACGGAGAAGGCUAGGCCAGCUUGGCGUUGGUUGUCCAAGUUUAAGGUGGUAGGCUGGAAUCUUAGGUAAAUCCGGGAUUCUAAGGCCGAGAGCUGAUGACGAGUUGCCUUUAGGCGACGAAGUGGUUGAUGCCAUGCUUCCAAGAAAAGCUUCUAAGCUUCAGAUAACCAGGAACCGUACCCCAAACCGACACAGGUGGUUGGGUAGAGAAUACCAAGGCGCUUGAGAGAACUCGGGUGAAGGAACUAGGCAAAAUGGCACCGUAACUUCGGGAGAAGGUGCGCCGGUGAGGGUGAAGCACUUGCUGCGUAAGCCCACGCCGGUCGAAGAUACCAGGCCGCUGCGACUGUUUAUUAAAAACACAGCACUCUGCAAACACGAAAGUGGACGUAUAGGGUGUGACGCCUGCCCGGUGCCGGAAGGUUAAUUGAUGGGGUUAGCUAACGCGAAGCUCUUGAUCGAAGCCCCGGUAAACGGCGGCCGUAACUAUAACGGUCCUAAGGUAGCGAAAUUCCUUGUCGGGUAAGUUCCGACCUGCACGAAUGGCGUAACGAUGGCGGCGCUGUCUCCACCCGAGACUCAGUGAAAUUGAAAUCGCUGUGAAGAUGCAGUGUAUCCGCGGCUAGACGGAAAGACCCCGUGAACCUUUACUAUAGCUUUGCACUGGACUUUGAAUUUGCUUGUGUAGGAUAGGUGGGAGGCUUUGAAGCGUGGACGCCAGUUCGCGUGGAGCCAUCCUUGAAAUACCACCCUGGCAACUUUGAGGUUCUAACUCAGGUCCGUUAUCCGGAUCGAGGACAGUGUAUGGUGGGUAGUUUGACUGGGGCGGUCUCCUCCUAAAGAGUAACGGAGGAGUACGAAGGUGCGCUCAGACCGGUCGGAAAUCGGUCGUAGAGUAUAAAGGCAAAAGCGCGCUUGACUGCGAGACAGACACGUCGAGCAGGUACGAAAGUAGGUCUUAGUGAUCCGGUGGUUCUGUAUGGAAGGGCCAUCGCUCAACGGAUAAAAGGUACUCCGGGGAUAACAGGCUGAUACCGCCCAAGAGUUCAUAUCGACGGCGGUGUUUGGCACCUCGAUGUCGGCUCAUCACAUCCUGGGGCUGAAGCCGGUCCCAAGGGUAUGGCUGUUCGCCAUUUAAAGUGGUACGCGAGCUGGGUUUAGAACGUCGUGAGACAGUUCGGUCCCUAUCUGCCGUGGACGUUUGAGAUUUGAGAGGGGCUGCUCCUAGUACGAGAGGACCGGAGUGGACGAACCUCUGGUGUUCCGGUUGUCACGCCAGUGGCAUUGCCGGGUAGCUAUGUUCGGGAAAGAUAACCGCUGAAAGCAUCUAAGCGGGAAACUUGCCUCAAGAUGAGAUCUCACUGGAACCUUGAGUUCCCUGAAGGGCCGUCGAAGACUACGACGUUGAUAGGUUGGGUGUGUAAGCGCUGUGAGGCGUUGAGCUAACCAAUACUAAUUGCCCGUGAGGCUUGACCAU